GUUCUGUGUUUCUACAAAUACUUUACUCUCGGGAUGGUGAGAUGGCUCCGUGGUCUAAAACAUGUACUUAGAACAAGAUUUGCAAAGCUCAUGGACAGUGGUUCAAUACUCCAUCACCACAUCCCAGCCAGCCCGCCCCCUGGUGGGAUGAGC